CUAAUCAAAUACUCAGAAAGAGACAAGGAUAAUAAGACAUUUCUUAUUCCAUACUCUAGGACAAAUUCGCACAAGUGUUCCUUCUUUCCAAGUGCCAUUUAGUGAAUGAAACGGGUUGCCUGAAUCAGACAGGAAAACGAUGGCUUAGCAGAGAUAUGGAAUCGGAGAUGUUCGUCUGGUGAAGUUUUUUUUCUCUUGUAAGAUAUCAAAAGGGAGAUAAUACCUUUCCACAACUUUCAAUCGACAGGGAAGAUAAAAAGACUUAAGGGCCCACUCUUCCUAGACAUGGCGCCCAGCCCAAGUUCCCCCAUACAAAGCUGAAAAGGCCUUGAGAUAGGACACUCAUUAAGAGUUAAAAAGUUUCUCAGCGUUGCGCGCGCCUCGAGUGUGAUGACGUCAUUUUUAUUGUUUACGUUGACUACAAGAGGAGACAACUCUCAUAAAUCACUUUGUUUUCUUUGAAUCUAUUUUUAAGUAAU